UCUUCACCCACAUCAAUCAUGACCUUCAUCUCCAUCUUCAUCUGCACACUGGCUCUCUGCACUCAAGGAUCCAGAGGUCAGGUGACUGUGACUCAGAGUCCUGCAGUAAAACAUGUUGAUCCAGGAGCUUCAGUCACCUUCAGCUGUAAAACCAGUUCUAAUGUUCAUCGAGAUGGUAAUGGAGAUUGGUUAUACUGGUAUCAGCAGAAACCUGGAGAAGCUCAUAAACUCCUGAUCUACUUGACUAACAGAAGAGCAUCAGGUAUUCCAGAUCGUUUCAGUGGCAGUGGAUCUGGAUCUGAUUUCACUCUGACCAUCAGUAGAAUUGAGACUGGAGAUGCAGGAGAUUAUUACUGUCAGAGUGACCAUACUGGUGCUGUCUUCACACAGUGUUAUAUGGUGGUACAAAAACCUGGGUGAGUGGAAGUGUACAGUAACUGCACUGCUGCAGCUGGGACCGACUGCAGGUGCUGAGGGGGAGGAUGUGAUACAGUACAAUCAUUCACUCUGUACAGGAAACACCUCACUCACUCACUACUUCUCCUAAAUA